ensembl:snoRNA
GAAGUUGACCUUGAAAAUAUUAUUGUUCAACAGUUGUACAGUGCAACCAUGGAGAGUCACUCACAUCGAAACAUGUGGUUCCUGCCGGCAGGGUCUGUAUAGUGAUCAGAUUUUCUGUGCGCUGCUUUCUUUCAUA